CACCAGUGAGGAAUGGAGGGCAGCGCCGGACGUCUCUCCAACCACAGCUCGCUGGUCUGAAAGACACGUCAAUCUGCUUCCUCUGUUCCAGAUGCAGGCCUGUGGACAGAAAUGAGAAGACCAUUAGAAGCAGUCGAUUGAAAGAGUUGACUUUAAAACUCACAAAGUCAGUCGGCCAUGACGGGCUCGUUUUGAGGGUUUGCACCUGCAGACAGAAAGUAGAAAAUUAUCACGAAUGCAUCGAAA